GAAAUACAUGUAAAUUUUCUGCACAGAUAUAAACAUGACAAUGUCAAAGACAUUUAUAUAAAUCCAACAAUGUGCAUUCAAAUUGUCUUGUUAUUGUAUGGCUAUCCAAGCAAAUAUUGAUACAUUGGAAUCCUUUUAAGAGCACGUAGGGAUGUCCAAUCAUAUUUUAAACAGUGACCACUGUUGUGAACUGGGUACAGAGCAAGUUGAGCAAGACAAUACUGUCUAAUAUUGGACUAAUAGUAACCAACACAACAAUAAUAACAAGGUAGCUGUAAUUUCACAAACAUGUUCGAGGAACACAUAAAAUAUAGCAAAAUAGUUUCGACGGAGCUUCUUGGCUAGUAGCCAAGUGAUCAAAUGUUUGCCAGUUACAGCAGGAGCUCCAGGUUCAAAACCCAACACCCCAUCCCCCUUUUCCUCUAUAAAUUUUCAAUAUAUAAGUUUCAGCAUUCAUACCAACUUGCAAAUAAGUUGUGUAAAAGAAACCUUCAAAUGCAUCGUGCACUUCCUUUCAAGUGAUUUGCAGGGGAGCGGCCACAUAUAAUUCUAACUCUUUCAGCUCUCAUGAGCCAUGAAUUUAAAAUUAAAAAAUUUAUACAUGAAUUAAUGAGAAUAUAUGGGGAUGUGAAUAGGACAGCUUGCAGGUUAGACUCAUUAUGAUUUGUUUUGAGUUGAUUUGAGAAUUAGAAGCUUAGAAACAGCAGAAAUUCACAUGUACUAUUAUGAAAUUUUUAUUUUCAAACUUAGCAUACAACUCAACUCAACUAAUCCUUUA
rnacentral:misc_RNA from 1 species